AUUGAACGCUGGCGGCAUACUUUACACAUGCAAGUCGAACGGUAACAGGUUAAGCUGACGAGUGGCGAACGGGUGAGUAAUGCAUCGGAACGUGCCCGGUCGUGGGGGAUAACGCAGCGAAAGCUGCGCUAAUACCGCAUACGAUCUGAGGAUGAAAGCGGGGGACCGUAAGGCCUCGCGCGAUCGGAGCGGCCGAUGUCAGAUUAGGUAGUUGGUGGGGUAAAGGCUAACCAAGCCGACGAUCUGUAGCUGGUCUGAGAGGACGACCAGCCGCACUGGGACUGAGACACGGCCCAGACUCCUACGGGAGGCAGCAGUGGGGAAUUUUGGACAAUGGGCGCAAGCCUGAUCCAGCAAUGCCGCGUGCAGGAAGAAGGCCUUCGGGUUGUAAACUGCUUUUGUACGGAGCGAAAAGGCUCUCUCUAAUACAGGGGGCUCAUGACGGUACCGUAAGAAUAAGCACCGGCUAACUACGUGCCAGCCGCCGCUGUAA
rnacentral:rRNA from 1 species